UGCAUUUUGUGUUCAUUUUAUUUACGUAAUUUGAGUUUUCAUAACAUCACCACGUCUCCAGCAGUCUGUCUCGGCAAUCAGGACCUUCCAAAGACAUCCCCGUUCCACACAUUAAACCACAGCCAGCCAAAAGGGCUCAGGAUCAGUUCCAGAUUCCAGAUGCAGAUUGAGUCCAGCCCCAGCAAUGUGUCGAGUUGGCAGCCGGUGCGGGAAGCAGAGCAGCGCCAGCGUAGACAGUGCCACAACCUGGUGCUGUCGCUCUGUGGUGCUGAGUUGGCCAUGGAGAAGUGGCUGAGGAGAAGUGCCUGGUCAACCACAGUCUGCUCCUUUACGACCUAUAUAAUUUAUAGACUUUUGCAUUUUUUCGUGGUUUCAUCUUCUGGCCCGGACUUUCAUGUGUCGCCGACAGCUGGCAGUGUCGCCCCUCAAGUGCAUCCCCACUUAUAAUUUCAGUUUAUUGUUUUUCUCUGGGCUGGAUGCAUCGACUUCGGCUUGACCAAUGAGGUAAUCAAAAUUCAUCAGUAUUCAACUCGAGAACAAUGGAAGAUUUGUAACUGGGUGGAAAUGACUGUGACUGACUGACUGGCUUCUCUGGUGGGGACCGUGCAUUCCGCUCUUUCAGUGAUGCCAAGUCUGGUGCUUUCUGUACUCAUCUAGUCUUCAUGAGGCAGUGUAGUUCUGUGCAAUGAAUGAAGACUGUGUAAUAGUGACCCCGACAUCGUGCAACUGGGAACAAAAGAUAAGCAGCACAUAACUGGUAACACUGGAAAAUAAACAGAGUUUCUUGCAAUGUUCUUGUCAUGAAAUCAUUAUAGAAUUAUUUC